CACGUGCUGAUCUACAGCAGGCAGACUGUGUGUGACUGUGACGUCAGCUUCACUUCCUCCGCAGGCUCUUUUCCUGAGGAUGGACGUCUGCCUGCCUGUGUUGCUGCCAACCAGGGGCCAAAGCAAUGACAAAAACAUCCUUCCAGCCCACUACCUGCCCCUGUGACCUUGUCCCACUCCAUACUACCUCUUGUUUGCAGGAAGGCCAUGUUUCCUGAGUGACAGGGAUUUGAGGGCGAUCUGGGCUGGACUUUUCAUAUUCUCAAUAACACUGUUUGCUUUGUCUUUGUUUAUAUGUUGCAUCAGGUGCAUUGAAGAGCGUCUGGAGCCUUAUGAAAUUAGAAAUGCGUUUUAAAUGGAUGGAGAAGAGAUUUUACCUGGACCAAAAUAGUGUGUUUAAACCAUAAUGUGAUGGUGCUUGUAUAUUGCUGAUCACAUACAUGUUCUCGGCCUGGUACAGAUCUCAUCUGGCAGUUUUAGUGCUCCGGACCUGUAAACCUGAUCCAUGACUGCAGAGCAAAGGCAGGCAGACUGCCGAUACGGACAGAGCUUUUUUUAUUUUUAAAUUAUAGUGACACAGCAUAUAGAGAAAUCUACUGAACAUCCCUGCCCAUAUAUAGUUACUAUACAGGAUUAGAUUAAGGAUGUAAAGCUGACAGCUGAGAAUACAGAGUGUUACACUUUGAUGUGUUCCCUAUAAAAAUGAAUAUGGUGCUUGAUCUGUUUGCUAAUCUAAGUCUAUAAUAAAAUAUAACUAUUAAAAUCA